GAACGCUGGCGGCAGGCCUAACACAUGCAAGUCGAGCGGUAGAGAGAAGCUUGCUUCUCUUGAGAGCGGCGGACGGGUGAGUAAUGCCUAGGAAUCUGCCUGGUAGUGGGGGAUAACGUUCGGAAACGGACGCUAAUACCGCAUACGUCCUACGGGAGAAAGCAGGGGACCUUCGGGCCUUGCGCUAUCAGAUGAGCCUAGGUCGGAUUAGCUAGUUGGUGAGGUAAUGGCUCACCAAGGCGACGAUCCGUAACUGGUCUGAGAGGAUGAUCAGUCACACUGGAACUGAGACACGGUCCAGACUCCUACGGGAGGCAGCAGUGGGGAAUAUUGGACAAUGGGCGAAAGCCUGAUCCAGCCAUGCCGCGUGUGUGAAGAAGGUCUUCGGAUUGUAAAGCACUUUAAGUUGGGAGGAAGGGUUGUAGAUUAAUACUCUGCAAUUUUGACGUUACCGACAGAAUAAGCACCGGCUAACUCUGUGCCAGCAGCCGCGGUAAUACAGAGGGUGCAAGCGUUAAUCGGAAUUACUGGGCGUAAAGCGCGCGUAGGUGGUUUGUUAAGUUGGAUGUGAAAUCCCCGGGCUCAACCUGGGAACUGCAUUCAAAACUGACUGACUAGAGUAUGGUAGAGGGUGGUGGAAUUUCCUGUGUAGCGGUGAAAUGCGUAGAUAUAGGAAGGAACACCAGUGGCGAA
rnacentral:rRNA from 1 species